UCCUACGGGGGGCAGCAGUGGGGAAUUUUGGACAAUGGGGGCAACCCUGAUCCAGCCAUUCCGCGUGAGUGAAGAAGGCCUUCGGGUUGUAAAGCUCUUUCGGCAGGAACGAAACGGUUUGGGUUAAUACCCUGAGCUAAUGACGGUACCUGAAGAAGAAGCACCGGCUAACUACGUGCCAGCAGCCGCGGUAAUACGUGGGGUGCGAGCGUUAAUCGGAAUUACUGGGCGUAAAGCGUGCGCAGGCGGUUUUGUAAGACAGAUGUGAAAUCCCCGGGCUUAACCUGGGAACUGCGUUUGUGACUGCAAGACUUGAGUGCGGCAGAGGGGGGUGGAAUUCCACGUGUAGCAGUGAAAUGCGUAGAGAUGUGGAGGAACACCGAUGGCGAAGGCAGCCCCCUGGGUCGACACUGACGCUCAUGCACGAAAGCGUGGGUAGCAAACAGGAUUAGAUACCCCGGUAGUCCC
rnacentral:rRNA from 1 species